rnacentral:rRNA from 1 species
CUUUCGGGCUGAGUAGAGCGGCGGACGGGUGAGUAACGCGUAGGAAUCUACCUGGUAGUGGGGGACAACUUGGGGAAACUCAAGCUAAUACCGCAUACGCCCUAAGGGGGAAAGCGGGGGACCUUCGGGCCUCGCGCUAUCGGAUGAGCCUGCGUAGGAUUAGCUAGUUGGUGGGGUAAAGGCCCACCAAGGCGACGAUCCUUAGCUGGUCUGAGAGGAUGAUCAGCCACACUGGAACUGAGACACGGUCCAGACUCCUACGGGAGGCAGCAGUGGGGAAUAUUGCGCAAUGGGCGAAAGCCUGACGCAGCCAUGCCGCGUGUGUGAAGAAGGCCUUAGGGUUGUAAAGCACUUUCAAUUGGGAAGAAAAGUUUGUCGUUAAUAGCGCCAAGCUCUGACAUUACCUUUAGAAGAAGCACCGGCUAACUCCGUGCCAGCAGCCGCGGUAAUACGGAGGGUGCGAGCGUUAAUCGGAAUUACUGGGCGUAAAGCGCGCGUA